UACGUAGGGUGCAAGCGUUAAUCGGAAUUACUGGGCGUAAAGCAUGCGCAGGCGGUUGUGCAAGACAGAUGUGAAAUCCCCGGGCUCAACCUGGGAACUGCAUUUGUGACUGCACGGCUAGAGUGUGUCAGAGGGGGGUAGAAUUCCACGUGUAGCAGUGAAAUGCGUAGAUAUGUGGAGGAAUACCGAUGGCGAAGGCAGCCCCCUGGGAUGACACUGACGCUCAUGCACGAAAGCGUGGGGAGCAAACAGG
rnacentral:rRNA from 1 species